rnacentral:rRNA from 1 species
AUUAAUAAUUAAUAUAUUUAAUAAAAAUAAUUUUAAUUUAAUAAAUAUUUUAAUGGGGGUUAAAGUAUUUUUUAAAGAAAAAAUUUUUAAAUUUAUAGUUAAUUAGUAUUGUGAAAGAAUUUUGAAAUAUUAUGAAAAAUAAAAUUUUUAUAAAGUAAUUUUUAUUUAUUGUAUCUUGUGUAUCAGAGUUUAUUAAAAAUUUUUAGUUUAUAAAUUAAUUUCUCGAAUUUAAAAGAGUUAAAUAAUUAUUAAAGUUAUUGUAGCAAAAUCAUUUUAAAUAAUUAUUUAGAAAUGAAAUGUUAAUCGUUUUUAAAUAUAUCUAGUUUUUAUAGAAAAAAAUUUAAUUUUAAAUUUAAAAAUUAUUUAAUUAAUUUAUUAAUUAAAUAAUUGUUUAAAUUUUAUAAUUUAAGGGAUAAGCUUUAAAUUAAAUUUUUAUAGUAUUAAAUUUUUAUUUUGAAAAUUUUAUAAUUUAUAUUGUUAAUAAAAUUUAUUUUGUUAUAAAUAAUUUCAUUUUUUUUAAAAUUUAAAUUUUAUUUAAUUUUUUAUAUAAAAUUUAUUUAUAAUUAUAUAAAGUUAAUUAUAAUGAUAAAAUUAGUAUAUUAUUUAAUAUUAAAUUAAAAUUAAUUUUUGAUUAAUAAUUAAAUUAAUUAAAAGGAAUUCGGCAAAUAUUUAUUUUCACUUGUUUAUCAAAAACAUGUCUUUUUGUUAUUUAAUUUAAAGUCUAAUCUGCCCACUGAUUUAUAAAAAUUGAAGGGCUGCAGUAUAUUGACUGUACAAAGGUAGCAUAAUCAUUAGUCUCUUAAUUGGUGACUUGUAUGAAAGAUUGGAUGAAAAAUAUACUGUCUCUUAAUUAAUAUAUAGAAUUUAAUUUUUUAUUUAAAAAGUUAAAAUAAUUUAAAAAGACGAGAAGACCCUAUAGAGUUUAAUAAAUUAUUUUAUGAAAGUUUUAUUUAUAUUUACUAAUAAUUUUAUAAAUUUAUUUAUUUUGUUGGGGUGAUAAAAAAAUAAGUUUAACUUUUUUUAAGUAAUUUACAUGAAUAAGUGAUUAAU